rnacentral:rRNA from 1 species
UACGAGGGGGGCAAGUGUUGUUCGGAAUCACUGGGCGUAAAGGGAGCGUAGGCGGGUUUCUAAGUCAGGUGUUUAAUCCCGGGGCCCAACCCCGGACAGGCACUUGAAACUGGAAAUCUUGAAUAGUGGAGAGGUCAGUGGAAUUGGGGGUGUAGCGGUGAAAUGCGUAGAUAUCGUAAGGAAGACCAGUGGCGAAGGCGGGUCUCUGGACAGUUCCUGACGCUGAGGCACGAAGGCCAGGGGAGCAAACGGG